rnacentral:rRNA from 1 species
GAUGAACGCUAGCGGCAGGCCUAACACAUGCAAGUCGAGGGGCAGCACAGGUAGCAAUACUGGGUGGCGACCGGCGGAUGGGUGCGUAACGCGUAUGCAACCUACCAUUGAUUGGGGCAUAGCCCGAAGAAAUUCGGAUUAAUACUCCAUAAUAUUCAUCAAAGGCAUCUUUUAUGAAUUAAAGCUUUUGCGAUCAAUGAUGGGCAUGCGUGACAUUAGUUAGUUGGUGAGAUAACGGCUCACCAAAACGAUGAUGUCUAGGGGUUCUGAGAGGAUUAUCCCCCACACUGGUACUGAGACACGGACCAGACUCCUACGGGAGGCAGCAGUGAGGAAUAUUGGUCAAUGGACGCAAGUCUGAACCAGCCAUGCCGCGUGCAGGAUGACGGCCCUAUGGGUUGUAAACUGCUUUUCCACGGGAAGAACCCUCCGACGUGUCGGAGACUGACGGUACCGUGGGAAUAAGCAUCGGCUAACUCCG